AAGUGAAAGCCAGCACUCCAGGAAGUGAGAGAUUCUAGCAAUCGAGCCUGUGUUUCUUGGACGCAGCUUUUCUGUACUUUUCUCGCAGUGUUGCUCUCAUUUGCUGAUUUGGACGUUGGAGAGGAGACUUCAGUAAAUUCACCACCGGAUGGGAUAUUACUAGAGAAGUUUUCAGCUAUUAUGUCCUGAAGAAUGCUUUGUACCCUCCCUCUCUUUCUUCCUCUGUAUCCCCUCUGUAGGUGCAGUGCUAUCAAGAGGCCUUGCCGAUAGACUUAAAGCAUAGUCUCGAGUUACGGCUGUGACUUCUCUUCAUUUUUCUGGCCUUAGAAGGAAAGUCAGAGGAAGAGGAAGAAAUGGCAGUUUCUCAGCCCAUCUUGGAUGGAUCUUGAAGAAAUCAUGUUAAGUGAAAUAAGUCAGAAACAGAAGGAUGAAUAUGGGAUGAUCUCACUCUUAGGCAGAAGUUGAAAAACAAGAUCAGAAGAGAAAACACAAGUAGAACCUGAACUGGAGUUGGUGUAUUGCACCAAAGUAAAAGACUCUGGGGUGGUGGAGGGGAGAGUACAGGUCCUGGAAAAGGAUGACAGAGGACCUAGUGGGGGUUGUAUUGUUAUGUGGAAAACUGAGAAAUGUUAUGUACAAACUGUUGUAUUUACUGUCAAAUGUAAAAUAUUAAUCCUCCAAUAAAGAAAUUAAUAUAUAUAUAUAUAUUUUUUGG